GCUGGGCGUGGUGGUGCACGCCUGUAAUCCCAGCUACUUGGAGGCUGAGGCAGGAGAAUUGCUUGAACCCAGGAAGUGGAGGUUGCAGUGAGCUGAGAUUGUGCCACUGCACUCCAGCCUGGGCAUCAGAGCGAGACUCUGUCUCAA
rnacentral:SRP_RNA from 1 species